rnacentral:rRNA from 1 species
ACGGGGCGCAGCAGGCGCGAAAACUGCACAAUGUGGGCAACCACGAUGCGGGAAACCCAAGUGCCAGCGCUAUGCGUUGGCUGUCCUCCAGUGUUCGUAACUGGGGAAGAAAGUGCUGGGUAAGACGGGUGCCAGCCGCCGCGGUAAUACCCGCAGCACAAGUGGUGGUCAUUAUUAUUGGGCCUAAAGCGUCCGUAGCUGGCUUGUUAGAUGCCUGGGUAAAUCGAUGCGCUCAACGUAUCGAACUCCGGGUAGACCGGCAAGCUUGGGACCGGGAGAGGCGUGAGCUACUCGAGGGGUAGGGGUAAAAUCCUGUAGUCCUUCGGGGAGGACUAGUGGCGAAGGCGUCACGCUAGAACGGCUCCGACAGUGAGGGACGAAGCCCUGGGGCGCAAACCGGAUUAGAUACCCGGGUAGUCCAGGGUGUAAACGCUGCAGACUUGGUGUCGCUGAUCCUACGAGGGUUGGCGGUGCCGUAGAGAAGUUGUUUAGUCUGCCGCCUGGGGAGUACGGUCGCAAGACUGAAACUCAAAGGAAUUGACGGA